UCCCAGGCACAUUGUGACUCCUCUCUGUGAACUGACAUGGGGGUGUUUUUAUAGAGGACUCACCGGUGGGGUGACUCUGAAGUCAUUGCCAAAGGAAAAUGACAACGAUUAUCCUGAAGGUGAGAUGAGAAAGAGCUGCUACAAGGUCAAGGUUGUGAACAACAAAGGAACGGUUAUCUUUUUAAGGUCUUCCUCCAAGCUUUUGCGGACAAAGACAAAUUAUUUUUAAAAAGGAGCCAGUACAGAGGCACCUGGAAGAGUGAGCGUGCUGUUGCCAGGCUCCUUCCCAAGAACUACACUCAGCAUCUCAGCAUCAGGCUGCCAUAGCUUUGAACUAUGAGCUAUGAACUCAUAGUAUGAACUAUGUAUCUGUGAGCAUCUGUGCUUUAUCUCGAUUUAUUUUGUGCAUCUGUUAGAAAGAUGUGUCACGACGUAAUUGCUUCUUCAUACAAAAGUACAAAACGUUGUACUUUUGGACUGCGGGGAAUCCUGUACCUGAGCUUGAGUGAUUUGGGGGACUUCCCUGGUGGCAGAAUGAUUAAGAAUCCACCUGCCAAUGCAGAGGACGCUGGUUCGAGCCCUGGUCCAAGAAGAUCCCACAUGCCGCGGAGCAACUAAGCCAGUGCGCCACAACUACUGAGCCUGCGCUCCAGAGCCCACGAGCCACAACUAC